CGACCGCUGCGGGGGCUGGAAAAGCCCGGAGCAGCUAAGGCCACACGGACAGCCGGGUCGAAUGCCGA
ncrna:unclassified sequences Streptococcus sRNA SpF59 (ldcC RNA)